rnacentral:rRNA from 1 species
ACGCGAAAGCUCCCUUCGGGGAGCAAGUAGAGUGGCGCACGGGUGAGUAACACGUAGGUAAUCUACCUUUGGAUGGGGAAUAACAACCGGAAACGGUUGCUAAUACCGCAUAAUGCAGCGGCACCUAAUGGUGACAGUUGUUAAAGCGGGGGAUCGUAAGGCCUCGCGUCUGAAGAGGAGCCUGCGGCGGAUUAGCUAGUUGGUAAGGUAACGGCUUACCAAGGCGAUGAUCCGUAGCCGGCCUGAGAGGGCGGUCGGCCACACUGACACUGACAUACGGGUCAGACUCCUACGGGAGGCAGCAGUCGGGAAUUUUGGGCAAUGGGCGAAAGCCUGACCCAGCAACGCCGCGUGAAGGAUGAAAUCCCUCGGGAUGUAAACUUCGCAAGAACGGGAAGAAUAAGUAAGAGUUAAUAUCUCUUACGAUGACGGUACUGUUUGUAAGCUCCGGCUAACUCCGUGCCAGCAGCCGCGGUAAUACGGGGGGAGCAAGCGUUG